UUGGAAGAUAUGUAUGCAGAAUUUCGAGAAACAAUCCUUGGAAGGCUUUCGAAAAAAAAAUUGGGAUAUUUUCUGGAGGAAUUCCUGAAGGAAUUUCUUAAAUUUAUAAAGAAAUUCAUUAGGCAACUUCGACAGGAAUUCAGAAGAGUUUUUAUAAAGGAACCUUUGGAGACAUUUCAAAAAGAAUUUCAGAGGCUAUCCUAAUGACACUUCUCAAAGAAUUUCUGAUUUGUUGAAGGAAUUAUUGGAUAAACUUCUGGAGGAAUCUGUAGAAGAUUAGGUAUAACAAUUCCCGGAAAAAUUUCUGGAAGAAUCCAUGAAGGAGUUUAUCAGGAAGUCCAUGGAACCUUUUCUUGAGGAAUGAUUGGAUAAUUUUCUGAAACACUUAAGGCAAGUUUUCAUAAUGAAUUCCUUGAGAAAUUUUUUAAUCCAUAGAAUUUUUUCUGAAAGGAAGAUUCCUAAAAAAUAUCUAUGCAGCAAUUUGGGGAGCAAUUCACGAAAAAUUUUCUAAUGGAAUUUUCGCCGCUGUUUCUGGAGAAUUCCCGGAGGAUUUUCUUACAGAAUCCCUAGAAGAAUUCAUGAAAGGAUUCCUUCAGAAAUAUCUAAAGGAAUCCAUUAGACAAUCCCGAGAGGAAUUCAUAAAAGGUUUUCUGAAAAAAAAAACCUUUGGGGAAAUUUCUAAAGAAACUUCAGAAGCCACGCUUGGAAAUUAUACCAGAAGAAUCCCAGCAACAAUUUAAAAAAAAAAUGUGAAAAUUCUAAGGCAACCACUAAAAAAAGAAAAAGAAACCCUUUAGAGAUGUCUGAAGGAACCCCCAAAGGAAUUUCUGUACCUUGAAACGCGGCUCUACUGCCGUGUGCAACAUAGUUGUCCCAUGUUCUAUUGAAUUUAGAAUCCCUCUAAUAUGGGGCAAUUACACGGCAGUAUAGGCACACGUUUUUUUAGGACUAAAAAAAUUUAAAAACAGAUUUAAAAAAUCCAUUUUUAUGAGAAAUCGCCCACAGGAGAGUGGAAAAAAUCCAAAUUCCACAAAAGAUCUUUUAUCUUAUAAGGCCGGAACAAAUCUCAUUUUCUUCUUUUGUCACUUUGCUCGUUGACUCGUCAAGGGGGGGGAUGAUAAAUAAUAUACGUAUUUCGUGAAAAAAUACCCAAACAAUUAGGCAAAAUCGUCAAACUCAUCGGAUUUGUUGAGAAAUUUUUUCGACGACUCUCGAAAAUUUUUAAAUUUCCUAAAUAAUUUAUUUGUGUCCCCCCUCAAAAUGUCGAAUUCCGACAAAAAAUUUCCGAGGGGGGGGUGACAUUAGAGAAAAUCGAAAUUUGUGUCAGCCUAAUCAAGAGUUCAUUAGACAUGGACAAAUAUUGACCAUUGUAGUCCAACAUUAAUCUAAGGUUAUAAUAAUUCACGUUGAUGGUCUUUUGUUGGGUUUGUUUGGAUAAAUAUUUGUCAUGUGUAAUGGGAAGCAUGAAUGUUUAAGCAUGAUAGGUAUUGUACUCGUUCUACGAUUUCAGGCAAUUAAAUUUCUUCUCAAGUUUAACAGAUAGGGAUCCACAAUCACUGACCGAAUCAAGCGUUGUUCACUCAAAUAGAAAUCAAUUUGUCAACUACCACCCCAUGUGGGUGCAGUUCAUACUUCUACAAUGCGCUUCAAAGUUAGUGCCAAUGAUGUCUGCCUCCUUCUACCUACUAUCUCCCAGGAGAUCGAAACAAUUGCUCUAACCUCGUAUAGUCCAUUAUUUCCACUGGUUGACUCUUUAUUGGGUACCGUCAAAUGGGGUAACUUGCAACACUUUUCGACUUUGAAGCAAUAUCAUUGAAAAUCUAAACAUUUGAACCAUCCUGUAAAGCAUCGUGUACGCUAAUUACCCAGAGUAGAAUACUAUGCAGCAAUUGAUUUAUCAAAAUAGGUUGUCACCUAAUCAGGAGGUGCGAAAUACAUGCUUGUUGCAAGUUGCCCCAUCUGUGGGGUAACUUGCAACACAGGACAUGAAGUUAAGUUAGCUAUCAUUAAACAGCACGAACAUUCUAGUGCUUAGUCGUAUUGUAAAUUUUUGAUGAAAUGCAUGAAAAAUGCAUUGUUAAGAUGUACACUAACCAAUUGACAUAUAUUUUUUCAUGAAAGGGCUGAUAGUUAUUGCAAGUGAGAGUAUAUCGUUUAACAACAGGUCUCACGUCCCUCAAAUAUAAAAUGUAUAUGGAUUUCAUGACAUAGUACUCGUAACAAAAUGACAACAAUGAUAAUUGUCAUUUCUUGAAAAGGUAGAGUGAGUCAUCUUUAAGUAGUUUUCAGUUUGAAGUGGUGUUUGACAAUUUCAGCUAAAAUAACAUUGAUUGAAACACAUCUAUUGAACUUUGUAAAUAUCAAAGUCGUUAAUUUGGUGCUCUGCUGAAAUAAUUUAUUCCAUCUAGGUUCAGAAUUGAUGUUGGUGAUUGUUUUGAAGCACCCAUAAACUAAAUUAAAGUUUUAACAAGAUGUAACAUGAAGAAAACUCCAUAAUAUGGUAUUUCCUAACAAUGUUUGAAAAUCAUGUUCAAAAAAUGUAAAAAUGAGAUGUCAUUUGAAAACGAACUCGUUACGUAAUCAAGAAAUGAUCCGUUUCGGUUAUUUCUGUCAAAAAUAUCGUGAAACGAAGAUAAAUAAUAGAAGAUUUUGUCAAAUUUAACUGUUGCAAGUUACCCCAUAGUGGUUGACGAAUAUAAUAAUGAUUUUUUACAUUACUUAGUCGAUAAGUUUAUUAGACUUUUGUCGUUUAGCUAAGCUUACUAUUAGGUACCCUAACUGCAACCAAGGUCAUCAGACUUAUCGCACUAACCAUAGGGGAGAGGUGAAACACGAUUUUCAUACUUGUUUUUAUGGCAUAAAAUGAGCAAACCGUUUUAACAGUGUAGCUAAACAAUUAACAAAGAAACAAAAUUAUUUUUUCCACUAAAUCGAUCCUUGGUAUACAUAAUCUCUAUAACCAAAAUAAAAGGGCAUACUAGUUUUCAUUAUUAUUAGAAAAUACUUCACAUUUAGUGUAUGCCAUCGUGUUGCAAGUUACACCGCUGUUGCAAGUAACCCCGUAUGACGGUACCGACCAGCUGACUGACCGACUGCACUGGUUGAACCAUCCUCAACCGACAGAACUGAGGGGGCAUCCAUUUAGUACGUCACGCUAAAAAUGGGAAUUUUCAACCCCCCCUCCCCCCUUCGUACGGGUUUUUCCUAUAUUUAAUACAUUGCUUGUCACACUUUUCAAAACCCCCCCUCCCCCCUCUAAGCGUGACGUACUUUAUGGAUGCUCCCUGAGCAGCAGCAAACGUACAUACAUAUGAUGUUCCACUUUUCCUUCCGUCACGUCGGGAAAAGCAAGGGUACGAAGCGGGUGGGUGUCACACAGCCGCAAGGCCGUCUUGGGAAAUCUAUGUUUGUAGGUAUCUGUUUGUCUUUGUUCUAAAUGGUUGUGGCAAAGAGCAGACAGCAAAAACCAGCACACUUCAGUCUUAGUGGUGGGUCUUGUGGGAUGAUAGUAUCAGUAGGGGAAAGUGUUACGGAACCUGUGAUCUGAUAGAAAAUAAGGUUCAACAAAACUUUCUUACUGCGUGUGACCUACGUGCACAUACUGAUACAGACACAGGCUCCAAAAAAGCAAAAAAAAAUGUCGCAUACCUAAUACAAAUAUGGCUUGCAGUAUUAUAAUCUGUUUGUAAGGACGUGACUAGAGACGUUCUAUAGAUAGUGUCACCGAGAGAUAGACAGGGUAAUUGAUUAUGAUUAUCCUACUCAACUUUUAUCAUCCUUAUGAAUUGAUAUCUUUUACAUAGUCUCAAUAGUAACGGAACACAUAACGAUGAACAAAAUUGGUGAGCUCGUUCCAUUGCGUUUUUUGGGUUUUUGAAAUCAAUAUAACCAUAUGCCAGUAAUCUAAACUUGAUGUUCUUUAAAUACCUAACGUUCUCAAUAGUUUUCGUAACAUUCCUGGCAAGCAAAUUCAAAAAUUCUCUGAAAAUGCUCAAUUCCCUUUUGAAAUCUUAGUGAACAUCAUUAGAGACGAAUUAAAACCGUUUGCAUCCUACUUCAAUCCAAGUUGGAAGCUUACACAAGCUCAUAUUAUCCACGUCUUCCCUACCAGUCAGUCAAUGCAGUGCAGUAGUGGCUGGUUAGAUGUUUGCACAUCCGGAGGGGGUACCCCCGAAGGCCCCGACUAGUUGUGUUUGUUCAUCCUGUGCACCGUCUCAUGCUCAUCGGAAUAGCUACUAACUAUGUACAGCUAUUCGAGUUUGAGUAAGUCUUUCAGUGGGAUGGACAUUAUUAAUAUCGGUUGGAUUAUUGUUAGCUAGUGACACUUCAGACGAAGUUGGUCGCUUGGUCUGGAACUCAAUGCUAAAUUGAUACUUUCGACAUUGUAUCUAUGUGUAACUAGCUGUACCCGGCAAACUUUGUCUUGCCUACUGCGUUUUUUGACGUUUCAAGUUGCUAGCCAAUACCAAGUCCACGGUCAAAGAGUAAGGAAGAUCAAUUUUCAAAAACUCUCAAUUUUCCCAUUUUUUUUGCCUCAUAAACCUUCCUUGGGUGAAACCUAACAGAACAAAACUAAGACGACCAAAAUCGGCCCUUCCCUUCGCAAGUUAUGCGCGGUCCCACGUAUGCCACUGCAUUUUUAUAUAUGUAGAUUGUUCUGUUUGCAUAGGGUAUUUAGUUUACCCAGAUGAUGGCUCGAGUAGGGAUAAUCAUUCAUACUAUUACAGGGAGUGCUCUUUUCCGGCCUGAAUUCCGAUGUCAAUUAUGUUGGCCAAUGUAUCAUAAGUUCACAAUUAUCAUUAUGCAGCAGGUGGUCAAUGCCUGGCAUUGAGUGGCAUUAAAUUUGUGAACUUACUUCACAUUUCAGCAACUCUGUACAAGCAAUACGACACCGCUUCCAAAUAUCAGGAACUAAGUUCCAGAUUACGGCAUACUGGUCUUGCUUUGUAAAUAGUUACUGAGACGGUACACGCUUAGGUACAUAACUACGCACAAGUGAUCUGGUAGCGACGGCAUUCUAACCUCUCAGUAAAGUUGGGUGACGCUGGCUUGAAACGGCGGAUGGGCUAAUGUCGACGCUGUCUUCCGUCCCAUAAAACCGUGGCGUAGCCUUAAAGUACGUUCCUGACAUGUGUCCAGCUUAGACAACUAAUUGGGUAGUAAUAGUAAUAGUAAAUUGGUACCUAGUAGGUUCAGAUGACCACUCCUGAUCCGGCUCUAAGCUCAGUCCCCAAAAGGGCCUUGGUAAACCCUUGGGUGGCCUCCCUGCUUACAUAGAUAACCAUCAGGAUCAUUGGCGACUACUUCAUUUGCAGUGAGCAUGGGCGUAGCCAGAUAGGGGCAGGGGGCCAUGGGCUAGGGUUCUUCUGGAGCCGGGGUCUAAACCCUAGCUCAGACUGGAAGGUCGACGAUGGAUACACGCACAGUGAACAUCUAAUGAUUCGAUACAGGGUGGAACACGGACGAAGACGGCCACAGCCGCAGGUCAUUGACCGUCAUUGGGGAUAGCUGACCUCGCAUUUCGGUAUUUUCAGGAUCGAUUUCUUAUGGAAAACGACGAUCUGUCCAGCGAUGAUCUAGUAACCCGUACAUGCGACGCUACAAUGCCAAGUCGAUACCUACCCCAAAAUGGGCGCAAACCGGUAUAUUUGUGAUGUCCAGAAAUAGCAGAAUUCCGCGCACCCUGCAUAAGAGCUAGCAGGACGAGGCAAAGAGCUCGCAACGAUGAGGGUAAAAUGGAGUGAAAUGAGGUCAAUAGGGUAGUUAAAAUAGCACUGAACAAAGAGAUAAAAGAGCGUCAGUGGGCUUGCUUUAAAAAGCUCUGCCAGGUAGCCCUGGGCAGACCGUAGAAACGUUGUACCCGCAUCACGAUAUAAGACCAUGGGCCCCCGUUCCAUAUGGCCAAACCGGUUAAAGUGCGGUCGCCCUGGUGACGAACGAAGUCGCUCAAAUUUAACAAGGCUCUGAGUUCGAAUGGUAUCCAGACAGUGGCCAUAAGGAUGGCCAUCGAAGCCUGCCUGACAUGUUAAGAAUGGUUCUGUAGAUGUGUCUAGACAAAGGCGUAUCUCCAAAGAGGUGGAAAAGGCAAAGAUUGGUUCUACCGCCCAAGCACAGGAAUCCACCUGGCGACUCGUCGAAAUACAGACCUAUCUACUUUCUGGACACCGCCGGAAAGCUGUUGAAGUGGAUCUUUCUGUCGAGGCUGAUGAUCUAGGUAUAUCAAGAAACCAGAUAACUCUGGGCUCUUGGAUAACCAAUUCGGCUUCCAAAAGGGUCGAUCGACGGUAGGCAUAUUGAGGUUGUAACCAAAACGGCUGUAACGUUUAUGAAAUUUUUUGAUGUUAUUGUACGUAUGGAUAUGAAAAUCAGAAACAGCACAAAACAGCACCAAAUCAUAUAUAGUGUUCCAAGAAAAAUGCCUCAUUACGCCACUGUGAACCAAACCACCAUCGACGCCGCGACGUUCAAGCCUUUGCCACACCAGCGCCGUACACAACCGAUGCACACAGCCGAAGCUAUGCACAUAGUUGGUGCACAACGAGCGCACCAUCGUCAGCGACCAACGUUAAAGUCGGUUACCCAGCAACACGGUACGAACAGUUGAUUCUAUGCUCUUCCACCUGCUAGAGCAGGACGAAUGCAGGAUCGCUCGAUGCAUAGGUGAUUCUUCGUCGGCACACACACACCAACAGAUCAUCCACCUUCAGCCUGGUCGUAUGGUUUGCAGCACGACAGUCCCCACAGCUCACUCGACCGCUUCGGAGGCAAGCAAUACGAGCUCAAAUCCCCGUGCUUGAUCCACCCAGGAAAGUGACCGCCCGACCGAUAGAGAAAAGGAUUUUCCCGAAAGAACCUAGUCGCCAUCGACUCGGUAAGCCACGCCACAACGUUCGAGAGCCAAAACGUCGCUUGCUAUCAAACGUAACCGGAAGAUCAUUCACCGGAUCGACACCUGGAAAGGCGAGGCAAACGUUAAGUGCGAUUGGUUUGCUGACAAGUAGACGGUUCCGGACGGCACAUUGGGCGUUCGCCAGCACGGUGAGGAGCAGCGUGCUAGGGGAAGUGAACGAUGCAAGACAAUUGGAGCGGCCUGGAAGCUUAGCACUGCGCGCGACAGUCUACGACGCACGAGCACACACACGUUGAAAACCCCUAUUCAGGGUAUGCAGUAUAUGUCGCCGCACACCAACAAUCUCUAACUUGUCGCGCGACAGGGUUUUUUUUUUCUUGUAGUGUUUCAUCACGUGCAACGGCGCAAAUCGCGCAACAACCUACAGCCAACUGAUCGUCGUGACUGUGGGGAUCAAUUUUUGAGUGAACGGAGGCGGCUCUAGGAGUGACGUCGAGGGCAACUGCGGCGGAUCCCAAGCGGGUGAACGUUGCAGGCCAUAGCAGCGCAACUCGGUCGGCCAAACUAAUUGCCAGCAGCCCAGAGAAGGCGGUGAGGUAGAGCAUACCCGUCGGCGGCCCCUUUCGCCUACUACCGAUGAAGUUAAUCGAGUGUGUGGCAUACGGCGAGUGAACAAGAGCGAGUUUCGUGUAGGCUGCCGUCCAGAGUUCGAGGUCGCGGAGUGAUUCCACGCGUGGGUCGUUCCAACGGAGCCAAGGAGCACCAAGGAGCAGAGAGCAAAAGAGAGGGUGCGCAAUCCUCAGACGGUAGUCUGGCAGCGUCGCAACGCGUAGAGGGUCCGUGAGUAGACCGAAAUCAUUAGUCUUAAGCAUCAACAUAUUUAAGCACGACAUAGUGCGAGUUAGGAGCUAGGGCAAAACUUUGAUGGACUCGGUUUUGUAAAGGGGACGACAAUAUACACUCUAAAAUGAUUUGAUUGGUGCGUUUUGAUUAGUUGGUGCACAUGCCAAGCCGUAUGAGUUGCUUUUACCCCUUUUGUUGAGCUAGCGGGGAAAACUUGAUUACACGACUGAGAUAACGCUCCGAAGGAAGCGCAGGGGAAUUCGCUACUGCGCGGUCGUCACGCUGGGCGUAGAGAAUGCGCUCAAAAGCAUCAUCUGGGCAGUCAUCGAAUGCGGCGUACACACCCUAGGAGUCCUGGAUACCGGAUACUUGAGAGCUACUACUAUAAAAAAGUGCUUAUCUACUUAUGACACCGAGGAGGGCGAGAGGAGCUACAUCACCGCGGGGGUACCUCAGGGUUCCAUCCUGGACACAGUACAUACUGCGGAACGCGACAUAUGAUGGCAUAUUGAGGCUCACAAUUCCAUCUGGCGCACAGCUGGUCGGUUUUGUCGGAAUAGUAACAUAAGGCUGAAUUUCAAAAGGCUGAAUGCACAAAAGGCUGAAUACGAAAGGCUGAAAUCAAGUGUAACAAAAGGCUGAAAUAAGAAAAUGCAUGUGUAAGUUAUGGUACUUUCUCCUUUUCUUGGAGUAACGCCCGAACUCAAGAUCAAGCCUGCUUCUCAGCUUGUAACAGGUACGAAAAUACUCAAUGAAAAAAGGGAGUCAAGAAAAUUUUCAUAAUGAAAAGUUCUUAGUCCGAACGCGAAUCGAACACGUAACCCUCAGCAUGGGCAUUAGUGUCGAAACUGAGCUUAGUGUAGAGGCUAGUGGAUAGGGGCAAGACACUGUGAAAUCCGGAGCAACUCUGAGCAAUCCUGAGUAACUCUUUUUGUUCGAAUCCAUUCAGAAACGUUUCUACGAAGCGGGAAAUUGGGUAAAACUACUCGAUUUUUCACUGGUAUCAGGCAACACUUUGGGAAAACCACAGUGACCCAGAGCUAUCCAGACGAAUUCUGAGCAAAACUUCGAUAACGGAGUUACUUUUUCCUGUAUCUGUCUUGCCCCUAUGCUAGUUGAGCAUACCAACGAGCACAAAAAGAAACUGAUAAUAUUCAUAUAGUUAAUUUUUCCUUCUUUAGACAUAAGCUAUUCUUUCGAGUCAUGUUGUUUUGAAGAUAGUUGUUAUCACGGUUACUAACAAUAUCAUUAGAGAUUUUCCCUUCUUUGAAAUAUAUGCUUUUCUUUUGAAAAAUGCUGUCUUAGUAAUGUAGGCGUUCAAUAACACAGCGUAACAAAAAUUAACUUUUGGUCUGUCUCAAAAGCAAACUUAUGUGUCUCUGACAGAUUUUGGGCCUCUGAAUCCGAAUCCGGGCUCAGAUUUGCUCUAACACGUCACAAUUUUGAGCUAUACCUUAAUUUAUAGAGCAAAACAUGCGAUUUUGGGCUUUUUUUAACUGCAAGCCAUUAAGCGUGGAAAUAUUUUUUUUUAAGCCAUCAAAAGGUUUAUUGGUCAAUUAACAUCUAAACUAACGGCUCAUCCAAAAUAUUUCGUUUUUCCAAAUCGAAUUUGAUAGUUUUAAGCGAUUUAUGUUAGGUACGAUAUUUCCCAUACAAGUCACCCUCCAAAAGUUGCAUGCAAGUUUUCAUACUAACAUAAAAUGCUUAAAUCUAUCAAAUUUGAUUUAGUAAAACGAAGUAUUUUGCAUGAUUCGUUAAUUUAGAUGUUAGUUGAACAAUAAACUUUUUUAUUGCUUAAAAAAAUAUUUCCAUGCUCAAUGGCUUGCAGUCAAAAAAGCCCAAAAUCGCAUAUUUUGCCCUAUAAAUUGAGGUAUAGCUCAGAAUUGUGACGUGUUAGAGCAAAUCUGAGCCCGGAUUCGGAUUCAGCGGCCCAAAAACCUUCGGAGACACAUAAGUUUGCUCUUGAGACAAAAAAAUGUUGCGCUGUGUAAUGCACAGAAUUAUGACCCAGUCAUAAAACUUCCUGCUUCGGAACAUAGUACUUGAAGCAUGUGCCCUCAAAAUGGUUUAGUUUGGCCAACCAUGAACUAAGGGACGGUCAAUCGUCAAGCUCAAGCAAAACCAAUCUGCCCCUCUUCACAUGUCAGUCCCAUGUUGUUUUUCAAAGUGUCUACGUUUUGCACUAUAGCUCCAAUUGUUUUCAAAAAAGUGCUUUCAUGUGAUGCAUAAGCUUUUCGUGGCACAUUGAGCUGUGGAAUGAGGCGAGAAAAAUAUCAAAUUUAUUUUAAAUGCGCUCGUGACAGACUAAAAUAUGAUUUGCAUUAGAAACAAAUUUUCUAAUAGAUCGUAAAAUCAAUGAAUGUAUGUAAUUAUUCCCAGAGUUGAUGUACACGUGCUGUAGUCCCAUGUACGGGAGCCACAUGGCAAGCGAGCUCCCAGGAGCUCUGUACAUUUUGAGACUGAAAGUUGUGCGCCUCAUUUUUCUCAAGAUGUGUCUCAUGAGCUUCGUCUCAUCCGCUGAUUAAAUUAGAAAAUUUCACGACAAAAACUUCCUAAACGAACAAGAAUUGAAAUCAUAACCUUUGCAUUGAGAGUCCCUCUAGUCGUAUCGUAUAGACCAACCAGACACUUGAGCUGUGUACGGAAAAAAGCUGUUGAGGUUCUUCGUUACCAAGAAGUUGUUUUUCACCUUAGAUACCAACAGCUCACGCAGCGCAGGAGACUAGCUCCCCGGGAGCUAGGCGCCUAGCUCGCACCCAUCAGAUUUUCGUGAGCCACCUAGCAGCGCAGCACACUGAGAUUUUGAAGAGCUGGGAGGCAAUUUGGUAGGAGGCUCGCUGUCACAUUUAUGUACACAUUCUUCUUCUUCUUCUUUAUGGCUCCACGUCCCCACUGGGACUUGGCCUGCCUCGCUUCAACUUUGUGUUCUUUGAGCAUUUCCACAGUUAUUAAUUGAAGGGCUUCCUUUGCCUGUCAUUGCAUGAAUUUGUAUAUUGUGAGGCAAGGACAAUGAUACACUAUGCCCAGGGAGUCGAGAAAAUUUUCCCGACCGGAACGGGAAUCGAACCCGCCAUCUCCGGAUUGGCGAUCCAUAGUCUUAACCACUAGGCUAACUGGAGACCCAUUAUGUACACAUGAGCAAUGGGAAACUCAGAUUAUUCCCAAGCGUCUGUUUCUCUGAGUUAAUAGUGUUGAGGAUAGUAUUUAGGCGGGUGCGUUUGAAAACUAGUCAAACCACUACUUAAGCCUUAUGUUAUUUCAGCCUUUUGAUGCAUUCAGCCUUUUGUCAUUUCAGCCUUUCGAAUUUCAGCCUUUUGUUAUUUCAGCCUUUCGUAAUUCAGCCUUUUGUACGUAACCCGUUUUGUCGAUGAUAUUCGUGGUAAGGUAUGCGCACAGCAAAAUCUGGCCAAAGAAAAUCAAGCAGUAAUAAUUCAUUCCAACUUGUUCCCAAACCAAAAACAAUUCAUCGUAAAAAAGCAUUAAUUUACUUUAAAUCAACAUCAAGACAUUGCUGAUUUGACUUGUUAUAUCCGUCAUCUCGAGUUUUGAGCUUGAGUCCUUCCGUAAAGUUUUGCACAGUACCUUCGACCGAAUGCUAAGAAAUUUUUACCACCUUUGUGUCAAAAUCAAUCUUAUUUUUCGAUGAAAGCUGUCGUUCUUGACAUUUUUUGAAGGUUCCAAUUUACGGUUACUCAAUAUUUUUGAAUUGGGUUGAGUUUUGAAGUGUAUUAGAUUUUACGUUUUUUGGAAAAAUGCAGUACAAUUUCUACAUAGUUUUCUGCAUACAAACGCAAGCAUUCUCCGCCAAAAACAGGGGACAACAAUCAAUUCAAAUCAAUACACAAUAUCUAAGCUUUUGAAUAAGGGAUGCCAACCAUUUUUCCCGACAUUUCCCGUAGUGAAAAAGAUGAUUUGCUGUACAUGUAUUUCUAAAAGUUCGGUUUUUCAAACCAUAAAUUCAUAUUGUUGACCAAACUAUGUAUUUCUUGCCAAACUUCGAUUUUUUCUUGCUCUUAAGUUGAUCUGCAACCUUUCCAGGUUGUAAUGAUGUAUAGAACCGAAUACUUGAAAGCUAACUUAGGUCUGCGGGGACGGUCGCUUUAAUGUACAUUGUCAGAUUUUCAGCACGUUUGUGCAAAAACUUUUCGAGAACUUCUUGUUCCCUUGACUCUAUUUUAAACACAAUAUCAAAAUAUAUCCCGAAGUAAAUAUUUUUCGAUUCCUUACACGAUUCGUUGAAAAUAGAGAAAUUUCUAUCCAAAAUGCGGUGGCUAGAUUUUGCUGUGUGCAUACCUUAUACGGUGAGUCGAU